GCGAUAAUUCAACUUGCUAGCGAAGAGAGGAUUGAAAAUCCCCGUGUCCUUGGUUCGAUUCCGAGUCCGGGCACCA
rnacentral:tRNA from 9 species